AAGGUAUGUGGUGUAUAUAUAUACGUUUUUGGAGACUUAGCGGUCAAACGCUGAUCUCGGACCACGAAGAUCUAAUCAAAUCUGAAUAUUUCAUCAAGAGCAAUACUGUUGAUUGAAAGAUUUAACGCUUUUAAUAUAAUUUAAAAUAAAAAUAAACUUCAUUUAAAUAAACACGUGUUUACUGCUGGAAGUCGUGCUGACACAGACAAUGACCAAAAAGGGGAAAUUAACAGUUCGGCGCAUCGGCGAACGAAAGCAACCUUACAUAUUUUGUGUAGCGGUAUAUGUGGCAUUUUGCAGUAUUGAGGCGAUAGCCGCUCCAAAUGAUUUCCCCAGGUGUUUCAAUGGUACAGCAAUGGUCACAAUAGAUAAAUCAAAACAAAUCUGCUGCAAUGGCAUUUAUGAUAAAACUGAUAAACAUGGCGUCCAACAGAGUUGCUGUGGUCUACAAGGUAAAAGGAACCAAUCAAUUACACAUGUAGUUUUCUCAACAAACGAAAAGAUUUGUUGUGGAGGGAAGCUGAUCGAUUUAUCAAAAUCUCGCCUCCCUAAUUCCACUGCUCCAACUUGUUGUGGUCAAGAUUAUUUCUACUCAGAUAAGCAUAUAUGCUGCAAUAAUAAGAUUUAUAAUAAGGCAGAAAAAGCUUGCAGUAAAUAUGAUUGUGGAGAAGUUGUAUAUGGUCGUGAUGAGGUAUGCUGUGGAUAUUAUACAUCAGGAGGUUAUUGUGCUAAUGUACAUAGAAGACGAGAUGGCUACAAGUGCUGUGGUCCUUAUCUGAUAAAUAGAGCCACUCAUAAAUGCUUCAAAAGACAACCUAGGCCAAAAGGCGAACUUACAGGUGAAUGUGGCAGUGAUCUUUUUGACCAGUCAAAGUUUAUUUGCUGUGAAGGACGUGAAAAAGAGACAUACGAGCUUAUGCCAAAACCUUCACCAAAUGAGACUAUUGUGAAGUACAUAGGUAUAACCCCUGACUAUUCUUGCUUGGGAGAUCAGGUAAUUGAUAAUGAUAUAGAGCAUAUCACUGAAUCUGGGAACAGCAAGCACGUGGUUCCUAACAACUUCCUACCAUGUGGCAAUUCCAUCUAUGAUCCACACAAUAAAAGAACUCAAUCAGAAUGUUGUGAGGGUGUAGUCAACCAUGCCCAUCCAAACAUGAAUGUCAUGUGCUGCGGGAAAGAGUUUAUUGACCUCAAUAAACAUGUGUGUUGUAACAAUAAGAAGAUUGAGUCCUCUAUGUUGUGCUGUGGUGGCAAUCAAAUUUAUAGCCGGUAUAGCGGAUUAGAAUGUUGCGGGACACAGCUGAUCAACAACUCAUAUAUCUGCUGCAAUAUACAGUCAUCUAGGUAUGUACCAGUGAGGAAAGAACCAGGUCACAACAAGUGUUGUGGUUGGAAGACAUAUAACUCCCAUAGCAACAAGGUCUGCUGUGCAGGGAAGAUCAUUGAAACAGAACAAAACCAGACUUGUAUCAGUGGUCAUAUAGUAACAUUAACUUCUACAAGUACAAAGCAAGUUAAAGAAAGAGUGAAGUCAUUGACAAAGACAAAUCAACAAUUAAGGGAAAUAAAAGGGCAUGCUUGCCCAUCAUGUGCCACUUACAUGAAGCCUCCGGAAAAAUGUGUAAAAAAAUUUGAAAAUGUGCUCUUCAUCAGAGAUGUAGCUAUCAAUGGGAACAACACUAUUUUUGAUGUCCUUUUUCUGGACCCUUCUGCCUUGAGGGGGGCAAAAAUGAAACUUUACACUAAAGGCCACUGUGGGUGUAUUCAGGAAGAUAAACUGUACAUGUUUCAAACCAACAGAAAUAUACUUGCUAAAUUGAAGGCAGGGAAAAAUAAGCUAAGGUUCUCUCAGAAAGAUAUAUUUUAUAUUAUAAAGGGAGGAUUAAAGGUGUAUAAAAAGCUAGGUCAGAGGUGUAAAAUUGAUAGGUAUUUGAGAAAGCCUGUUGGGUCUUGAUGAAAUUUUAUUUCUAGGAAUUUAGAUAUUUUACUGACAGUCAACUAUUUUGUAGUUUUGUAUGUUUUCUACCUUAAGAAACAACUAUUAGAAAACAGUAUUUUGCAGUAUUUGAUGGUUUAACCAUGACAAGGAAGGAAUGAUUUUAUUUGCACAUACUUUUAUAUAAUUGAAUGGUAUGAUGUAAUAUUUACAGCUUUUUUGAUAUUUUACUUGUAUCUUAAUGAAGAUAUCAGAUAUUUUGUCAGACACAUGCAACUGCCAUGUUAAUUGGUUUGUAAAAAGUAACCAAGAGUUAUGCAAACAAUCCAAAGAGAACUUUUUAUCUAAAACAGGGUAAAAAAAACCCAAUGAUAACAUAAAACAUGUAUAUAAUAUGCAUUAAUUAAAACAGGGUUAAUCACACAAAAAUUGCCAGGUGUUAUUAACAGAUGUAAAAAUAUGUAUACAUUUUUGUAUUUUUUAAUAUCAUCACUCUGUCUGAGAGAAGGUGUUUUUUUUUCAUAUUUAUAAUUAUUUAUGUGGGAUACAAAAGAAAUGUAUGAAAUAUAGAGAAAAGCAGUUUGUCAGGUAAACAUUUCACUCAUUUUUACUUUAGACCUCUUCUAACCUGCUGAUUUUCUAGAAUGAUUUUAUCCUACUUCCAUUUUGGGGGAUAAAAAUUUGAAAAUUUAGUUAGUUACCUAAGAGUAUAGAGCCUCAGGUCAGACUACCAGCAUUUUUGUAAAAAAUGAUUAUUUAAUGUCAUGUUGGAAAUAUUUUCAUGGAAUACAUGCCCUUUACAUUGAUCAUUAUACUCAUAAUUAUUUAAGGCAUUAUUUUUGUACAUUUUGAUGUUGCCAUUAUUUGUGUGUAGCUUGUAUUGUUAACUAAAUCUCGCAUUGACAUGAAAACAUGACACUAAAUCACUAUUGUUAUUCUAUCUCUUUUUACUCAAUGUUAAAUGUAUGUCACCUAUUCUUUAAAGUUAUAUUUAUAUACAUUUAAUUAUCUUUUCAAAAUGACAAAACACUUUAAUCAAAUUUAUUUUAAUGCUGUAAUUGCUGGUUUACUUCUUUUUUCGUCUGCCUAUUUUAUUCUGUCAUAUUGCUUAUAUGACCUCCUCUUAUAGUGCCUACAUUCACAGACUCUUAUAGUAAUGAUAUUAAUAAAGACUUUACUUACAGAGCAAGUCCAGUCUUCCCUAUGAGCCUUUUUAAAAAUCAUACAUAUAUACAGUUCCAAACAAAAGAUUUAUAUAAACAACGAAAACUUUAUGUAUAUAAGAAAAGUAGAGUUAUUGAAAAAUGCAUUAAGAAAAUGAAUAUAUAUAUAAACAUUUCAAAGUAUGAAAUUGUACAUUUUAUGAGACAUACAUGUAUAUAUGUGAUAUUAAAACAUUGCUAGAUUGUUUGAUGCACACUAGAGAACCACCAUUUCAGAUAAUUAGUUUUGAAUGCUUGUAAUUUGAAAGAAUUUCUUAUGUUUAAAGGGAGGGAGUUCCAAAAUUUUGAGCCUGAAUAGGGAGUUAGUUGGAACUGUGUUAAUUGUAUUGAUAUAGGGAGUGAGUUAAUUUUAUAAAUAACUGGAGCAUUAGUUCAUAUAGGGAAAGAUAAGUUUAUUAAUGCUCAAGUAUUGUCUAGUCUAGUCACAGUAAAAUAUAUACCAGUAAAUAUCACAGUAUAUAUUUAACCUUUAGCCUGCUGGCAGUAAUUUUAGCCUGCUGGCAGUAAUUUUAGCCUGCUGGCAAUCGUCUGCAUUGUUUGAUAUUUAUAUUCAAUUAGUACUUAUUAUGGAACCUUCUCUAAAAGAUGAUAAGUGGUUUUGUCCAGACUGAAAGAUGGAUGAGUCAAUUUUAGAUAUUUAGUGUGGUAAGGGUUAACAUUAACAGUCCAUCAAUGAGUUAUGUUUCUAACCAUAAAUUAAUUAGAAACAUUAUUAAAGGGACUCCACUGAGGUUUUAAUUUUAAAAGCCAAAAAAAACUACAUUUGAAUUUCUUAAAUAAAUGAGCUGGGGCACUUUAAACAGAAAUAUAUGCAAAGAUAGUUAAGAAAUAUACUUUGAAAUAAAUUGAAAAUCAUAUUUUAUGCUUUUCUUAGCCCGAUUUGAGUGAAAUGUGUUUACACGAUUUUCAUUUAGGGUUAAUUUUUACAAUUUGAAUAAUUAUUCUGUAAAAACGAAAUGGGUAAAUGAUCUGAAAUUUUGCACAAAGAUUAGUGGUCUAAACCUACAUCAAAUGGUACAUUUAUCUGGAAAAAAAUAUUUUCAGUCCCAUCAUGUCAAAAAACCUCAGUGGAGUCUCUUUAACACUUAGUUUAUCAUAAACUUUUAUAACAAUAUUUCACAAAUAUGAAUGAAUGAUAAAACCGCCAUUUGAUAUACCUUAAGUUUGUAUUUAUAGAUAAUGUAAAAAAGAUGUUUCUUGGAAAUCCAGUGAAUAAAUAAAGUUGUUUUUUAUAUGAUUAUAAACGAAACUGAAUUUAUUUACUGAAUUUCACAGAAAGUGUUUUUACAUAAGGAUUUAAAUUUCUUUUGUUUUACAGAUAAUUAUAUACUGUAUGCUAAUAAGGCACACUUAUCAACCACAUCUAUUUGAUAAUUUUUUUUUUUUAAAGUAAUGAUUAAAUGCACAGUGUCAUUACUCAACUUGAUGCAUAAAUUUAAUUUCUAACUAUAAAAGUUAGAUUGAUUAUAUUAAGAAGAAAUAAACCAAACAAACUUGUACAUUAGUACCAAUUGCAAUCAAAUGGCAAACAUUUUUUGUUCAUAUUUCCGUACUAUAACCAUUAUGUAUUAAUUAUGUAAGACAGAUUUUUCCAUCAUGCAAUCUGGAUUAAACCAUUUAUCAUUUUAAGAGAAAAUUUCAAAACACAGCUUACAGUGCAGACCAUGAUCCGAGAUGUGCCAACUGAUUUUGGUCUGCACUGGUUACAUAGAUGUAAAAUCAGUUGGCAUGAGCAGACUUUAACUGUCAAAGUAUUUGAUAUUCAAUUUUUUGUAUUUAACUAAAACAAGUGUCAUAAUUAUGUUAUGCAUGCAAUUAGUACACUGAAAUGUAUUAUAAGUGUAAAUAAGAACAAUGUCAAUACUCUUACAUUUGUGAUUCACAUGACUACUAUAGUGAGUAGGUUGGUAGAUAAUUGCAUUGUUAUAUUAAAAUUUACAAGGUUUAAAAUGUGUGUAUUUAAAACCAGUAGAGCCCUGGCUUUCCUUGUUAAAUGUAUUAAUCAAAUAUUGACAGGUUAUAAAGGUGUAUCAGUAUAGAUAAUGGGUGAAAUAGAAUACGCCACUUCACAAUCAACCCCUGAACAUUUACCUUAUAAUAAUACUAAAAUGACAUAUGACAUUUUUGAAAUAUAUUUUUAUAUUAGUGAUAGCAGAGGGCAUGCUUUUUAUACUUAUAUUCAUAUGGAAAGUCAAUUGGUUUUUGUAAAAUUAAAGCAGAUUACUGAUUGUUCAGCUUCAAAGAAUUUUUUUUUAAACCUUACCAAACUAAAUAUUUUGUCCAUUUUUCAAUCUGAACAAAACCAUUCAUCAAUGUUAAGAAAAAUAUUCAAAAUAUAUAUAUUGACUGAAUAGCAAACAGUGCAGACCAUGAUCGGAAUACUUGUUGUGGUUGAUAUUGGUCUGCACUGGUGACAUGGGUAGAAUCAGUCGUAGCCAGCAUGCCUAAGGGUCAAAAGAUUUAGCUAAAAAGAAAUGGAUUCAUUUUAUAAUUUUUAACAAUCAUUAAUUUUGUAAAUAGGUCAAAUUUAUUUAUUUUUACUUUCAUAUUGUAUAUAAAUGCAUUAUGAUACAUGUAGCUGUAUUGUGUAUUGUUUUAUUAUGUUAUAUCAAUGUAAUGUAAUUAUUGUAUGAAAAAUCAUUGCAUCUUCACAUUUUUAUUUUUGCAUCUUCACAAUUUUUUAAACAAGAAAUAGGGCAGUUAUAUUGUUUUUAAAAUAAGUUAUAGGGCAGAUGAUAUAAAUUGGCAAAACCUGUUGAAAUCCCUUAUUUUUACACAUAUUUUAUCACUUAGAAGCAUUAUUUAACAAUCAUUGGACAGUUUUACAAAAAACCUUAGGAUGCAUUAUUUCAGGUUUAGAGAAGUAUACAUAUUGUGUAAUAUUAUUUUUAUUAAUGCAUGUAUGUUGUGUUGUUUCUUGCCUAUAGCUUUACAAACAUGUAACACAAUUUUACAAAUAUUUUAUUAUAUUGCAUUCAUUUUAUCACUACCUAAAAAUUAUCCAUUAAAUAACUUGAAAUAAAGAAAUUUCAAAAAGUUUUGCAUAGCAUAUUGGUAUAAAUAGUUGUUUGUGUUGAACAAAAUGAUGAAAUUCAUAGUAAUUUAACCUCAUUUUAGAUAUCAUACUUUAGUUUACAUGGUUUGGAAUUCGUAUGAACUGGUCACAGUGUUGUUUGUUGAACUAUUUGAAAAUCAUUAAUAUGAGUUCAUCACAAAGACCCUAUCACAGGUAUUUGUGGACAAACCACUUCACUCUGUGUUUUCUAACUUGAUAAGCAUCAAUCAAAAAACAGUUAAAUUAUAUUACUUUUUUUUACAGUCAAACAUUUUAGUUUUGACCAGCCAUAAUGCUUUUUUUCACAACCAUUCAGAGAAUAUUGUUACAGGCAAAACCGGACAUUGUUAAAAUCAUACAUACAUACAUACAUUACAUACAUACAUUAUAUUAAUUUCAAGUUUAACCUGUUUUAUAAACCUCUCAUGAGAUAUGUAUAUUGUCAAUUAGUACAUACUGUACAUCAUAUUCUAUUACAUCUUUACAAAGACAAAAAUCUGUGUUCAUAAGGUUUAAAGAAGUUAGCAAAUCUAUCAUAAUAAAUGAAAUGUAAAACAUUAAAGCAAUUAAUAUUUCACAGUAAAGUUUAUUUGUUGUGGUUACUCUUCAGGAAGAGAUGCAUUGACCCAAUUGAGGAAUGUAUUUUUAUUCAAUAAAAAGUAAAACCUCAGUAUGAUAAUUUGAUUUUUGCAAUUACUUAAAAAGUCAACAACAAAAAAUAUGGAAAAUGUUUAUGAUUAUCUAAUUACAAAUACAAGUGUUAAGUGUCUUACAUUAUAAAUCUACUUUAUAAACCUGACACCACAGCAAAUUAUCUAUUCAUAUUGUCUUUUGUUUAUUGGUCUUUAAUCUAUAUUACCUUUUGGUAUCAAAGGCUUUAACUGUCUGUAAUCAGUAGAAUAUUUGUUAAAUAAAUCUAAGUACAUGUACCUAAAUAGAAAGAGUUCAGAAUAAAUGGGUGCUGCAUCCAUGAAAUCUUUGUUAAACAUACUUAAAAUGGAGUUUAGAUUUGUUGUAUUUUCAUACAAAAGUUUUAUCCUUCUUCAUCUAUGUUUUGAAAAAAAUAUAUAGUAUAUUUUGUGUAAUUCUUAUUGUAGAUUGUCAAGUUACAUAAAUUAGGCAGUAUCAUGUAACUAUAAAGGUGACUACAAUAUUGUGCAUUUGAUAAUGUUGAUUAUUGAAACAAUUAGACACUUUUAAUAACUUGACAGAUUAUUUCUUGUAUUGACAGAUUAUUUCUUGUUAAUUUUAACUCUUAACUUGAGGAGUAUGUAAUAAUGGAUUUAAUUGUUCUGCUUUGAGUUUUAAACAGUUGAUUAAAAUUUUUAACAAAAAUUCAGCUGCCAAGUCAGUAUGUACAGUCUCAUGUAUGAACUGACCUGGCUCUGUACUGUUGGCAAAGGUUAAACACUAUGGGUUUCACCAGAUUUACAAGGGUUAAUACAUGGGUAUGUUUUUCUUUUCAAAUUUUCAAUUCAUUUCUACUGUAGUGCAUAUUUUAUCUAAAAAUAGAUAAUUUAUCACCUUUUCAGAAUAGGUAAAGUCCCGGAUCAUUUUAAAGUGUCAUUAUAAUUAGUUAUUUUGUAAAUGUUCUGCUACUACAUGUAAAUAUAAGUUGUUUUGCUUUGAAUGAAGAUAGAUGAGUAAGCAAGUACUGUACUAGCCUUUAUCAGGAAGUUCAAGUGUGUUAUUUAACCUUAAAUCUGUCCUACUUAUAUAUGUUAUUAUGUUGAAAGAUAUUUGAUCAUUUGUUUGUUUGUUUGUUUGUUUGUUUAUUGUUUUUACAGAUAUAUUAUAUAAUGUCUUCCAUAAAUUAUCAUGUUUU